rnacentral:rRNA from 1 species
AUACGUAGGGGGCUAGCGUUAUCCGGAAUUACUGGGCGUAAAGGGUGCGUAGGUGGUUUCUUAAGUCAGAAGUGAAAGGCUACGGCUCAACCGUAGUAAGCUUUUGAAACUAAGAGACUUGAGUGCAGGAGAGGAGAGUAGAAUUCCUAGUGUAGCGGUGAAAUGCGUAGAUAUUAGGAGGAAUACCAGUUGCGAAGGCGGCUCUCUGGACUGUAACUGACACUGAGGCACGAAAGCGUGGGGAGCAAACAGGAUUAGAUACCCCGGUAGUCCACGCCGUAAACGAUGAGUACUAGCUGUCGGGGGUUACCCCCCUCGGUGGCGCAGCUAACGCAUUAAGUACUCCGCCUGGGAAGUACGCUCGAAAGAGUGAAACUCAAAUGAAUUGACGGGG